CCUACGGGAGGCAGCAGUGAGGAAUAUUCCGCAAUGGGCGAAAGCCUGACGGAGCAACGCCGCGUGGAGGAUGAAGGCCUUCGGGUUGUAAACUCCUUUCGGCAGAGACGAAGUUCUGUCUUUGACAGGAUGACGGUAUCUGCAGAAGAAGCCCCGGCCAACUACGUGCCAGCAGCCGCGGUAAGACGUAGGGGGCGAGCGUUGUUCGGAAUUACUGGGCGUAAAGAGCACGUAGGCGGUAAGUCAAGUCGAGUGUAAAAGCCUUGAGCUCAACCCAAGGAUUGCACUCGAAACUAACUUACUAGAGUCUAGUAGAGGGAAGUGAAAUUCCCGGUGUAGCGGUGAAAUGCGCAGAUAUCGGGAAGAACACCAGUGGCGAAGGCGGCUUCCUGGACUACGACUGACGCUGAGGUGCGAAAGCUAGGGGAGCGAACAGGAUUAGAUACCCCUGUAGU
rnacentral:rRNA from 1 species